GGGGAUUUAGCUCAGUGGUAGAGCGCUUGACUACCAAGGGCAAGGCCCUGGGUUCAGUCCCCA
rnacentral:tRNA from 1 species